GCCCCUGUAGGCUAACUUGGACAGACUGGAGGGUUGCGGUCCCUCAGAUCUGGGUUCGAAUCCCAGCAGGGGCG
rnacentral:tRNA from 1 species